AGCCUCAUCUCCCUCUUCCCCUUCCUAGAUCGACGCCCCUUCCUCUCCCGAUCAGGAUCGACGCCCCUGCUCCUCCGUCCAACCACACCGCAUCUCCUCCACCUCCUCCCUUUGGGUGAGAAGAGAAGCCCUUCUUCGCAUUUCAAGAAAGGAGAGGUGAUGAGUUGGUCUUGAUUUCUAGGGUUUUGUUUUCAUCGGAUAUCAGAGUAGUAGCAGUGGAGGGAGGCAAGAUGAAGACAACUAAAGGAGGAAAGGUGAUGAACCCCACCGAUGCCUACCGGAAGGAGAUACGAAAGGAGGUCAAACAGGUAAGAAACACGAACUCUUUGGUUCCAUUUCCGCUAGUUCAUUCUCGACCUCAAGGUCUCCCUUCCUUUUAGUGCCAUCGGAUCUAGUUUAUCCUUUCCGAAAUUUUACUUUGUGUUUUUUUGUGUCUUUGUUGUGUCAGAUAUUUUUUCUGCUUUAUGGAUGAUGGUGUUGUAUGAUAAGAUGUUUAAUUCUUUUUUGUGGACCAUUGCGCUAGUGGAGAGGAUUCUUCAUUUGUAAGGAGGGUAACGAAGUGGUUAUAAAAUGAGAGAUUAUAAAAUUGUUGUUUAUGGCACGAUGGACUCGGUUGCCGAUCCUAUCCAAAUAAUUCAAGGCUUUCCAUGGACGAAAGAGUGGAGAAGAGCGCGUCUUUUCUCCUCUUUUUUCCCAUCAUUUCCUUCUAAUUUCGGUGGGUUUGGACGCUACAUAAAUUAGGGUUCUUGUUCUCGUCGACAAGGUCUGAAAAUCCAGGAUAUCGAGGUUUUGGCUGCGGAAUUUGGCCGGAUGUGGGGGGAGAGAGGGCGGUUCUACUGGGGAAGGUCGGAGCGAGAAGCGCGGAGAGAAGCAAAGGGAAUCGCCGUGCUCUUCUCGCGGCUCUCGAGCCAGGAGAGCGAUCUGAAGCCUUUCGUCGAUCUGUACUAUUCUCUCAGCUGGAGUCCCCUUGUCUGUCACGUCGACUUCCUCACGCUGAACUGUUCAGUUUAAUCUUGAUCCCUUCAAUGAGCACAAUGAUGUUGAUCUUUGGGAAGCGUUAGAGACAGCUCAUCUAAAGAUGUGAUUCGAAGGAAUUCAUUGGGGCUCGAUGCAGAGGUCUCAGAAGCUGGGGAGAAUUUCAGUGUCGGACAAAGACAACUUCUCAGUCUUUCAUGAGCAUUGUUAAGGAGAUCAAAGAUUCUUGCCCUCGAUGAAGCUACAGCAGCAGUGGAUGUUAGAACUGAUGCUCUUAUCCAGAAAACAAAAUUCUGGACCAAAGCUACUGUUGACAAAUUUAAUUGAUUGAUGCAUGCAAUGUGUUUGAUGAAUUUCCUCAAACACUACCCUGAGUUGAUUUUCUCAUUUUUGUUUGCUAGAUUGAGGAGUUGUUAUUUCUUGUUGCUAAGUUGGUUUUAUGUAUUCCUUGAACUAUCAAGUUUUUUUUUUGUGUGUCGAAUUUUUUUUUAUUGUUUAUGCACAUUUAAGUGCUACUGUUGACAAAAAAAGUUCUGUUAUUUCUUUGGGA